CCUACGGGUGGCUGCAGUGGGGAAUAUUGGACAAUGGGGGGAACCCUGAUCCAGCCAUGCCGCGUGUGUGAAGAAGGCCAUCGGGUUGUAAAGCACUUUCAGUGAGGAAGAACGCCUGGUGGUUAAUACCCAUCAGGAAAGACAUCACUCACAGAAGAAGCACCGGCUAACUCCGUGCCAGCAGCCGCGGUAAUACGGAGGGUGCGAGCGUUAAUCGGAAUUACUGGGCGUAAAGCGCGCGUAGGUGGCUUGAUAAGCCGGUUGUGAAAGCCCCGGGCUCAACCUGGGAACGGCAUCCGGAACUGUCAAGCUAGAGUGCAGGAGAGGAAGGUAGAAUUCCCGGUGUAGCGGUGAAAUGCGUAGAGAUCGGGAGGAAUACCAGUGGCGAAGGCGGCCUUCUGGACUGACACUGACACUGAGGUGCGAAAGCGUGGGUAGCAAACAGGAUUAGAUACCCUUGUAGUC
rnacentral:rRNA from 1 species